GAUGAACGUUGGCGGCGUGCUUAACACAUGCAAGUCGAACGCAGAUAGCAAUAUGAGAGUGGCGCACGGGUGAGUAACACGUAGCUAACCUACCCUUAAGAGUGGGAUAACCAUCCGAAAGGAAUGCUAAUACCGCAUAAGCUCCCGAAUUCUAGAGAUUUGGGAGAAAACGGCGAAAGUCGCUUGAGGGUGGGGCUGCGACCCAUCAGCUAGUUGGUGAGGUAAAGGCUUACCAAGGCGAAGACGGGUAGGGGACCUGAGAGGGUGACCCCCCACACUGGGACUGAGACACGGCCCAGACUCCUACGGGAGGCAGCAGUGAGGGAUAUUGCACAAUGGGCGCAAGCCUGAUGCAGCAACGCCGCGUGGGUGAAGAAGGCUUUCGGGUCGUAAAGCCCUUUUCUAGGUGACGAGGAAGGACGGUAGCCUAGGAAUAAGUCUCGGCUAACUACGUGCCAGCAGCCGCGGUAAAACGUAGGAGGCGAGCGUUAUCCGGAGUUACUGGGCGUAAAGCGCGUGUAGGCGGCAUGACAAGUCCGGCGUGAAAGCUCCCGGCUAAACUGGGAGAGGCCGUCGGAAACUGUCAAGCUAGAGUGUGGCAGAGGGGCAUGGAAUUCCGGGUGUAGUGGUGAAAUGCGUAGAUAUCCGGAGGAACACCAGUGGCGAAGGCGCCGCUCUGGGACGUACCUGACGCUAAGACGCGAAAGCAUGGGGAGCGAACGGGAUUAGAAACCCCGGUAGUCCAUGCCGUAAACGAUGCACACUCGGUGUUUGAUCCGGGAAACCGGAUUGGGUACCCAAGCAAACGCGAUAAGUUGACCGCCUGGGGACUACGGUCGCAAGGUUAAAACUCAAAGGAAUUGACGGGGGCCCGCACAAGCAGCGGAGCGUGUGGUUUAAUUCGAGGCUACGCGAAGAACCUUACCUGGGUUUGACAUGAUGGUUGUAGGGAACCGAAAGGGGACCGACCUUCGGGAGCCAUCACAGGUGCUGCAUGGCUGUCGUCAGCUCGUGCCGUGAGGUGUUCGGUUAAGUCCGCAAACGAGCGCAACCCCUGUUGUUAGUUAUACGUGUCUAACGAGACUGCCCGUGACAAGCGGGAGGAAGGUGGGGAUGACGUCAAGUCAGCAUGGCCUUUAUAUCCAGGGCUACACACACGCUACAAUGGUCGGUACAAUGGGUCGCUAAGGAGCAAUCUGGAGCCAAUCCUGAAAGCCGAUCUCAGUUCGGAUUGUAGGCUGCAACUCGCCUGCAUGAAGUCGGAGUUGCUAGUAACCGCAGGUCAGCAACACUGCGGUGAAUACGUUCCCGGGCCUUGUACACACCGCCCGUCACGUCAUGGAAGUCGGUCAUGCUUGAAGUCGGGAAGCUAACCGCAAGGGGGCUACCGCCAAAGGCAGGGCUGGUGACUGGGACGAAGUCGUAACAAGGUAAC
rnacentral:rRNA from 1 species